CGCUGUCUCUCUCUCUCUCUCAGAAAUUUUUAAAAAUUAAAAAAAAAAUGGAGCCUUAGGUAGUGGGAUUUUAGUCCAUCUCAAAUGUAAACUGACUUGUCUUCACUCAGGGCACCAUGGGGAUGGAUUGGCUGUCCGUUUGUGUCUUCUGAUUUUUGCGGAGUCAAACAAUU